AUGAAAAGGCCUUUGAAAAGAGAGUUAAAAAGUGCUUGAAAUUGUUGAGGGGGAAGUGUAUCAGAGGCGUGAGUGCUCCUAGGCUGUAUGUAGACUCUAACCGGUCUGCCCCUCAGUGCUAGGAGCUGGUCAGCAUGGAUUAGCCUAGUGGGACAAAAGCAGAGGUUGCUACUUUGCCGAUGCCACUUCGCUGAUCGAGGAUUAAGAGCGCUUUGCCUUCGGAGCUGCGUUCUCAUGAUGCUGGCAGAAGCACCUGAUACAGCCCGUCUUGAAACACGGACCAAGGAGUCUAACAUGUAUGCGAGUUGGUGGGUGGAAAACCCAUGAAGCGUAAGGAAACUAACUGGUGGGAUGGCCUGUGCCUGCACCAUCGACCGACCAUGAUCUUUUGUGAAAGGUUUGAGUACGAGCAUACCUGUUGGGACCCGAAAGAUGGUGAACUAUGCCUGAGCAGGGCGAAGCCAGAGGAAACUCUGGUGGAGGCUCGUAGAUGUGCUGACGUGCAAAUCGCUUUUCGGACUUGGGUAUAGGGGCGAAAGACUAAUCGAACCAUCUAGUAGCUGGUUCCCUCCGAAGUUUCCCCCAGGAUAGCUGGAGCUCGAACAGUUUUAUCAGGUAAAGC
rnacentral:rRNA from 1 species